AUGGCUUUGCUUAUUUGAUUGAUGCCAGUGUGACUGUAAGCUCUGGCCUGACUUUGCAUCGGCUUUUACAAAGUCAUACAUGACUGAAUAUAUAAGAUAAAUCAUUCUUUUUGUAUGAAAAGAAAACUAGAUAAGUCACUGAAAUGUUUCUGUGCAGGUGGAGGCACUUAAGAUGGUUGUAUCCUCUCUUUCAUGUCAAUGAAAGUAUGUCCAUGACUUGUUCUGACAUGUCAUUUUCUUUCUAAUAGAAUCAUAUAAAGUUUCGUUAAGAAUCUAUUGUUCUCGAUAAACGUCUAUUUGCAUGACUAUGCUAGUAGGAGGGUAAGCAAGUACUCAAUGGAAUAGUCGAGAUGUGCACAAGCUGACACAGACACCACAUUAUAAAAAAAAUAUAGCUAUUUGCAUGACUUUCCUUAUUGAUUGAUGCUGGGACUAUAAGCUCUUGCCUGCCUGCAGACUGGAAGAAGUCAAAGCAAGGUGACAGGGCAUAUUGUGGAAGUUGCAGACAUGUAAGCCACAACCAGAUGGAAGUCCUCCUUUACUGAAGUUUGUAUAAAAUUGUUGGAAUACUCAUACAAAAUUCUCACUGUUGCUGUAAAUGCAGAGUAGAUAAACCUAUAAAAUGCAAAAUGAUUCCCCGUAAUGACCUGGUGCAUCACUCUUUUAUCAGUGUAUAUAAUAUUGUUAUUCUGGUCAGCAUUCACAUUCUAUGCAAAGGAUGCUGUUAUUUGUUAUAGAAAUGGAAUAUGGUUUUCUCAUUUCAAAAGUUCAAAUAAAAUGCUCCGAAUGUGAAAUAAUUCCCA
rnacentral:lncRNA from 1 species